rnacentral:rRNA from 1 species
AGCAGCCGCGGUAAUUCCAGCUCCAAUAGCGUAUAUUAAAGUUGCUGCAGUUAAAAGCUCGUAGUUGAAUUUCGGGAUCAAUAUGUUGGUCGUGCCUUGGUACGUACUAGCUCAUUGGUUUCUCCCUUCUGACGAACCAUGAUGUCAUUAAUUUGAUGUCAUGGGGGAAUCAGGACUGUUACUUUGAAAAAUUAGAGUGUUUAAAGCAGGCUCGCGCUUGAAUACAUUAGCAUGGAAUAAUGAAAUAGGACAUUUGAUUCUAUUUUUGUUGGUUUCUAGGAUCGAUGUAAUGAUUAAUAGGGAUAGUUGGGGCAUUAGUAUUCAAUUUGUCAGAGGGUGAAAUUCUUGGGAUUUA